AGGAUAAUAAUUUAUUUAUAAAAUAAUUAAUUUGCACUUAAUAAAAAUUGCCCUAAACAAUUUAUCUUA
rnacentral:tRNA from 1 species